rnacentral:rRNA from 1 species
GACGAACGCUGGCGGCGUGCUUAACACAUGCAAGUCGAGCGGUAAGGCCCUUUCGGGGGUACACGAGCGGCGAACGGGUGAGUAACACGUGGGUGACCUGCCCUCAGCUCUGGGAUAAGCCUGGGAAACUGGGUCUAAUACUGGAUAUGACUCCACGGUGCAUGUCGUGGGGUGGAAAGCCUUGUGCGGCUGAGGAUGGGCCCGCGGCCUAUCCAGCUUGUUGGUGGGGGUGANGGCCUACCAAGGCGACGACGGGUAGCCGGCCUGAGAGGGCGACCGGCCGACACUGGGACUGAGACACGGCCCAGACUCCUACGGGAGGCAGCAGUGGGGAAUCUUGCGCAAUGGGCGAAAGCCUGACGCAGCGACGCCGCGUGAGGGAUGACGGCCU